AUCAGACUCAGAAUCAGAGGUCAUAAUUGUCCAUGUGACAACACAUGCAGGAAUUUCACAAUACAACAGUCAGUAUCAGCCUGAAAUAAGGUGCAAACAUAAUAUACAAAAGCAGUGUUUCCACCAAAUGACCCAGAACUUCAAGUCUCAGGAACUUUAAGUCUCAGGAACAUUUAAAGGUACUAAAAGGUUCCUUCAGACCCUGGUUGUCUUAGUUUCCACUGCAGUCUUAAGACCCACAAAGGUUCGGCAAAUUAAGGUUAUUUUACAUCACGCAUAAAACGAAUAAAGGGCAUGAAAAAGUGAGAAAUACUGAGAGAAGAAUGGGACCAACAAAAUCAGUUCCCCGAUCCAGCCACGUUGAUCACCCGCACCUGACAGUCAUCUGCAAUCAGGAUCACCAGGAUAUCUACCCCAGCCUUCCAACCAUUCGUCGCCAGAUCUCACCAUCACAACCAUACCACAACCCUGCUUUACUGCCGGAUUACCAUCUCCGUCGAAUCGUUGUGCGUGACUGUCGGUUCGCCUGCCAGCCGACCCAUCCAACCCCGAUUCGGACCCCCCGGCCCGUGGUUUCAGGAUUACCCCUAACGGACGCAACCUUCUGCACUAAACUUCAUCCACCGUGGACUAAUAAACUGUUCUACUGAUUCCGCUCUCGUCUGCGGUCCUUUGUGCCGUGCGUUUGGGUCCACCCUGUCUUGAGCCGUAACAGAGGGAACUAUAAGGCCUGCUGGAGGGCAGGGGUCUGCCGCCCGAUUCCUAGUCCACUUCAUAGUCCUACAGUGUACCUGAGGUCUCUGAGGCCAUGGUCACACCAG
rnacentral:lncRNA from 1 species